CGGGGAGUAGCGCAGUCGGUAGCGCGCAUGGUUCGGGACCAUGAGGCCGGGAGUUCAAGUCUCCUCUCUCCGACCA
rnacentral:tRNA from 1 species